UACGUAGGGUGCGAGCGUUGUCCGGAAUUAUUGGGCGUAAAGAGCUUGUAGGCGGUCUGUCGCGUCUGCUGUGAAAAUCCGGGGCUAACCCCGGACUUGCAGUGGGUACGGGCAGACUAGAGUGUGGUAGGGGAGACUGGAAUUCCUGGUGUAGCGGUGAAAUGCGCAGAUAUCAGGAGGAACACCGGUGGCGAAGGCGGUUCUCUGGGCAUGAUCUGACGCUGAGGAGCGAAAGUGUGGGGAGCGAACAGG
rnacentral:rRNA from 1 species